CGAAAUGGUCACACCUGUUCCCAUCCCGAACACAGAAGUUAAGCAUUUCUGCGGCGAUUAUAGCUAUCCCUUGCGAUAGUGAAAGUAGCACGUUGCCAAGU
rnacentral:rRNA from 1 species